AGUGAACGCUGGCGGUAGGCCUAACACAUGCAAGUCGAACGGCAGCACAGUAAGAGCUUGCUCUUACGGGUGGCGAGUGGCGGACGGGUGAGGAAUACAUCGGAAUCUACUUUUUCGUGGGGGAUAACGUAGGGAAACUUACGCUAAUACCGCAUACGACCUACGGGUGAAAGCAGGGGAUCUUCGGACCUUGCGCGAUUGAAUGAGCCGAUGUCGGAUUAGCUAGUUGGCGGGGUAAAUGCCCACCAAGGCGACGAUCCGUAGCUGGUCUGAGUGGAUGAGCAGCCACACUGGAACUGAGACACGCGCCAGACUCCUAGGGGAGGCAGCAGUGGGGAAUAUUGGACAAUGGGCGCAAGACUGAUCCAGCCGUACCGCGUGGGUGAAGAAGGCCUUCGGGUUGUAAAGCCCUUUUGUUGGGAAAGAAAAGCAGCAGGUUAAUACCCCGCUGUUCUGACGGUACCCAAAGAAUAAGCACCGGCUAACUUCGUG
rnacentral:rRNA from 1 species